rnacentral:rRNA from 1 species
ACAGCAGUAGCCGCGGUAAUACGAAGGGUGCAAGCGUUACUCGGAAUUACUGGGCGUAAAGCGUGCGUAGGUGGUGGUUUAAGUCCGUUGUGAAAGCCCUGGGCUCAACCUGGGAAUUGCAGUGGAUACUGGGUCACUAGAGUGUGGUAGAGGAUAGUGGAAUUUCCGGUGUAGCAGUGAAAUGCGUAGAGAUCGGAAGGAACAUCUGUGGCGAAGGCGACUAUCUGGGCCAACACUGACACUGAGGCACGAAAGCGUGGGGAGCAAACAGGAUUAGAGACCCCGGUAGUCCCUGUCUCUUAUAC